UUCAAUCAAGAGAAAAUCUUGUCAACACAAUUUCGCAAUUUUCCAAUUACUUAAUUGGAUUAAAUUUAGUUUAGUUCUUUCCCAAACAAUUUAAUAUUCGCAAUUCUAUAAGAAUAUAUAACCAAUGUGAAGCUCUCUAGAUCUGUUUUCUUCUACAGGUUCUAUUAGAAGAUUUUAGAUUUUGAUUACCUUUUCUAUUUGAUAAGUUAAUACGUGGAAUUUGUUAAUCACUGGACAUGAGUGAUUAUCUAUUCAAGCCUGAAAGUGACCAAGGAUGAAUUGUGAUCAAUUUCACUUUUCCAAGUCUUGAUACUUGACUUGUUUUCUAUAUGAUGACUUGGCUUAAAAAGUCAAGUUUUGCUUGUUUGAUUUUCGGCUGAUUUUCCAAUUUAGAUUUUUUUUUCCUUCUUGGCUUUUGGUCCAUUCUAAUUGUUGGUGAUAAACAACAAUAAUAAGAGACAAUUCAAACGAUUAACGAGAGGCCAAUUUAAAGGAGCAAUUAAUGUAUUAAGGAUUUUGUGGAUUAUAUGAAUUGGAAAUUUUCCUGAUUGUCUCAAGUGUAAUACUUUUCUGUUUCUUUGGUGGGUGUAUUAAGGAUGGACUCUUUGUGAAUGACUCUUUUUCCGUUUUUCGAUGUGGGUGUUUAGCGAAAAUUAUUUCACUUACAAUUAAACACAACUAAAGAUUUGUUGGUUCUAAAUUACUGGUUACCAGUUCUUAAUUAAGAUCGUACAAGAUGGAAACUACUCGACGACGAUAAAUCUAAAAUUCUGUUUUAAUCAUUUGUGGCUGUAUAAAGAAAUCAAGAUAAAACUGAUCUGAAGAGAAUCACAUCCAACCCGAUUAAAGAGUAACCUCUUGUUGACAUGAUAGAAAAAGAGAAUCUAAAAGUUUCAAUGGAUUGGUCAGUCUUCUUAUCAUAUUAAUCGUCUAAAUCAUCAUCAAUGUCCUUCCAAUUGUCCGUACCUUUUACUCAACCGUGGAAAUUGUUUGAGAAAAACAAUUUGGAUGUACAUUUUUGGGUGGAAUUGGUUGGUAACCAGUCCUAUUAUUAUCAUUUCUUUCAAUUCCAUUAUCGUAACCAUCGAUCAUUCAAAUAAUAUAUGAACUUAAGUCUCAAUUUACAAUAGAUCCUUCAGCUGAUAAUGAUUGAGAUUGAGUUGAGACAGAAAAGAAAGAGAAACAAAAAUGAAACCUCUUCUCAGAUUUCAUGAUUACACUUUGGAUAAAAAUCGUAACAACGGAUGGAUAACUGGAAAGAACAACAAUUUAAAAAAAAUAAGGAUAAACAGGAAAAUCAUCAUCAUCAUCAUCAUCAUCA